rnacentral:rRNA from 1 species
AUUAAAUGAGAGUUUGAUCCUGGCUCAGGACGAACGCUGGCGGCGUGCCUAAUACAUGCAAGUAGAACGCUGAAGACUUUAGCUUGCUAAAGUUGGAAGAG